UACGAAGGGGGCUAGCGUUGCUCGGAAUCACUGGGCGUAAAGGGUGCGUAGGCGGGUCUUUAAGUCAGGGAUGAAAUCCUGGAGCUCAACUCCAGAACUGCCUUUGAUACUGAAGAUCUUGAGUUCGGGAGAGGUGAGUGGAACUGCGAGUGUAGAGGUGAAAUUCGUAGAUAUUCGCAAGAACACCAGUGGCGAAGGCGGCUCACUGGCCCGAUACUGACGCUGAGGCACGAAAGCGUGGGGAGCAAACAGG
rnacentral:rRNA from 1 species